rnacentral:rRNA from 1 species
AUCUCGAACAAGUAUGUGACCGCACAGGUGAUCCAUACUCCAACAACAAUCGUCGCGUGUUCUGCGAGCUCACAGGAGAAGCUGCUGAGAUCGAACUUGGAGUCGACCCACGACGUCUCUGCCACCGCAAAGAUUGGGAAGUUGCUGGGCAAGUGCCUGCUGCUCAAGGGGAUACCUGCCGUAUCCAUCCACAUGAAGAGAGAGCUGAAGUACCAUGGGAAAGUCGAGGCUGUAAUAGCUUCUGUCAGAGAAGCUGGUGUCAAGCUGUUGUGA